rnacentral:rRNA from 1 species
CCCUUAGAUGUUCUGGGCCGCACGCGCGUUACACUGAUGCAUUCAACAAGCCUAGCCUUGACCGAGAGGUCCGGGUAAUCUUUGAAACUGCAUCGUGAUGGGGCUAGAUUAUUGCAAUUAUUAAUCUUCAACGAGGAAUGCCUAGUAAGCGUGAUUCAUCAAAUCGCGUUGAUUACGUCCCUGCCCUUUGUACACACCGCCCGCCGCUCCUACCGAUUGAAUGUGUUGGUGAGGAGCUCGGAUUGGCAGCAGUUGGUGGUUCGCCACCGGCUAUUGCUGAGAAGUCCUCCAAACCGCCCCAUUUAGAGGAAGGAGAAGUCGUAACA